GACGAACGCUGGCGGCGUGCUUAACACAUGCAAGUCGAGCGAUGAAGCACCUUCGGGUGUGAAUUAGCGGCGAACGGGUGAGGAACACGUGAAGAAUCUGCCUUCAACUCUGGGAUAACUCCGGGAAACCGGGGCUAAUACCGGAUAUGAGCCUUGAUCGCAUGAUCGGGGCUGGAAAGUUUUUCGGUUGAAGAUGACUUCGCGGCCUAUCAGCUUGUUGGUGAGGUAAUGGCUCACAAAGGCGCCGACGGGUAGCCGGCCUGAGAGGGCGACCGGCCACACGGGGACUGGGACACGGCCCAGACUCCUACGGGAGGCAGCAGUGGGGAAUAUUGGGCAAUGGAGGAAACUCUGACCAAGCGACGCCGCGGGAGGGAUGAAGACCUUCGGGUUGUAAACCUCUUGCAGUAGGGAAGAAGCGAAAGGUGACGGUACCUGCAGAAGAAGCACCGGCUAACUACGUGCCAGCCGCCGCGGUAA
rnacentral:rRNA from 1 species